rnacentral:rRNA from 1 species
AUGUAUAUUCCUACAACAUAGCGUUAAUGCACUAGAUCCCAUUAGAACUUCACCGUUAAGCGUUCUCAUGCUAGAGUAGUACUGGGACGGGUGACCACUCGAGAAGUCCUAGUAUUUUACAUG